AAGGUAGCAAGUCUCUGCAACUCUCGAAAAGCCAGUGACCACUCUCUGAUGAGCUGCCAACUUGGCGGGGGUACCGCAGCGCCAGAGCCAAGAUGCAAGCCUGGAGCUGCAAACCAGCCUCUCUGGUAGGGCUGCACUCCACAUUCCCCCGGCAGCUGUGAACUUGGCUCUUGCCACUAGCUAUAUGCAUGUGUUCCUCGUCUCCUCCCUCUUUGGCUUCACAAGGCAGGAGGUUGUAACAGUGCCCAGCAAUUACUGAGUUGGCAUGCGCUGCAUUGUUUACUCACAGUCAUAUUCCUACUGGACUUUAUUAAAACACCAUCUGUUGUCAGUUCAGAAAUGAAAAGAAAGGGGAGGGGGGGGUGUAUGGAAAAGGAGCAACAACAACAAAAGAAAACAGUCAAAUCUGCAUGGCAGGAGAACGGCUUGUCUCAGAGAUGCGUACCUGGAGCACUCGUCACGGCAGCUUGGAAGGAAGCGGCGCUAACGCAGACUCGCUGCACAGCUCGUAAUUCUGUCAGCAGUCCCAACAGAAACGGUAUUUUUUGAGUCAUGAUACUUUUCCUGGCAUCAUUUAAGCUUGAGUCUGAGACUCAACUGCCUGCUCUGAGAAUGUUUUUUUUUUUUCUCUUCUGGGAGAAGUAUCAACACGCACCAGUGACCACACACCUAGAAAGAGUCGUACAGUAUUGCUUCAGCAGGUUUACAGUACAAACCCUGGAGAUGAAAGGUGAAGUGAAACUGCAGGCUGUCAAUAGGAACAGUGUUUAAGCUGGAUGGAUGAAAUAAAAGGCAUUAUGCUGGAGAGGAUGGAGGGGUCCCAAGAGGUCCAACUAGUCACAGUGCUGGAUGACAGGUUGAGCCCUACGGACAAUUAACCAACUGUGACCAUAACCUUCAAGAGCAGCAACUAUUGGCUGAGUACCAUCAAGGUGGGAGGGUAUAGAUUAGCUAGGGCCAAUAAGCAGCGAAAUCCUGUGCCUUGCUGGGAAGCAGCUUUGACAGACAGAGUUACAUUGCUCCUUGAUCUUAACUAUACUUAGGAUACAGCGGUCUCCCAAUUUGAAUGAGAGAUAUAUACAGACCAUGACUUUUAGAGGAAACCACACAUGGCACUCACACUGGUGAGAAUAGUCAUUAGUGGGCAGUUAAAAUUUUGUAAGAGCUACUUAUUUCAUUACCAUAUUUGCUUGAUGCACAUUAUAAUAAUUAUGGUACAGGAUAACAGAAUGUGAUUAUCUGAGAAUCCAAUUUGCAACUGUUUUUCAAUAUCUCAUAAAUAUUUUAAAGAAGAUAUUAUUGAUGUACUACGGAAGCUGCUAUGUUAUAA